UUUUAAUUAGGAAACAACCCCAAACCCUAAUGACUUCCCCUAAUGACCCCCAUAUAUCCUUGAACCUUGUAUAAAUCCGCGCAAGGUCACUCAAAUUAACCCAAAUGUUCAUCCUCUCUUUCUUCCAGCCAAGAAUCCCCCCGGUAUUUUCCAUUUUCCUCACCUGACUUUGAAUCCCAACCCCCGAAACCCCAGACCAAAAGAUGAAAGUGUCCAAACCUCAUGAUUUUGCUUCCUGUCGUUCAAAUCAUCAUAUGCAUCUGAAGAUUUAUGAGGAUCUCGAACUACAUCAUGAUGAUUCUUGGUCAAGAUGAUUCUUGGUUAAGAGGUCAAACGUAGUGACCUUUGGACAUAGGCUUUGACCAAUAGUCCUUUGGUCUCCAACGACCGAUUUUCUUCAAGGCAUCAACGGGAUCCGGAUGAGUUUAAAACCAAAACAGAAUUUGAGACAAGUCUAAACGUCUACCAGGUUUGAACUUAAUUGGUUUAAAAAACAAACAAAGUGAACCAUACCAUUUUGAAACAAAAGAGACAAGCCAUGCUAUUCAAACAAGUGAGUGCCCAAUCAUCAAACAGGUUCCACAAUAUUUUGGUUUCCAUACAUAUUCUACCCUUUGAACAAAUUGACUUCCAUUUGCCUCCCUCAAGCCUUCAGUGCCGCAAUUGCGAGGGUUUGCAUUUGCGAUCCCAUGUCGUAAUUGCAACAUCUGUAACUGAUCAAAUAGCUGGGAGAUGGGAGGCUAUGGGGGAUCGCAGAUGCGGCUUUUUGACCAAAGCGACGGUUCCAUAGAUGCUGUUAAGUGACCGCAGGUGCGGAAAUCACUGGGCAGAUGUGCAUUAAUUUCAAGACUUAGCCCAUUUUUCCACACACUUCUACUUGGUCUUGGGAGGAUUUGAGAGCACGUUUGUGGAGGAUUCUCAUCAACUUCAAGAGUUUCGGAGUCCUUGACGUCGUUUGAGGAGUCCUAGUGAGGUUGGAGAGCUGGAAUGCAUGCUUGGAAUCGAGAUCUUGAAGCUGAGAUGUUGUGGAUGACGGGAGUUAGCACUAAAGACAUACAUGCAUUCCAGAUAUGGCUAUCACUUGUCCUUGGUAGCUUUAGACUUGAAUUUUAUUUAUGUACAUUCCAAACCUGUGUUGUAUUUAUUUCAUAUCAGUUUUGUAAUCUAAGUCUUAGUUGCUCAUGAAUUGUACUACCAAUCAUUGGGAUAUUGUAUGGGAAUUUAGUAACUUCACUUAUUGAUUUCAUAUUAAUUUCAGUAGUAUUGUGUUAGCUGUUAUUUGGCUUACCUAGUGGGUUGGGUUAGGUGCCAUUACGACUAGGCAGAUUUUGGGUCGUGACAGUAAUGUCGUGCAAUUAUUUUUAUAUUAUAAUGUGAGAAUGAGAGUUCAUGGCA